rnacentral:tRNA from 1 species
CAGAAUAUAGCUAAAAUAUAGCACUUCAUUUACGCAGAAAAGUUCCCUGUGUAAACCAGGUUAUUCUGA